AUUGAACGCUGGCGGCAUGCCUUACACAUGCAAGUCGAACGGUAACAGGUCUUCGGAUGCUGACGAGUGGCGAACGGGUGAGUAAUACAUCGGAACGUGCCUAGUAGUGGGGGAUAACUACUCGAAAGAGUGGCUAAUACCGCAUGAGAUCUACGGAUGAAAGCAGGGGAUCGCAAGACCUUGUGCUACUAGAGCGGCCGAUGGCAGAUUAGGUAGUUGGUGGGAUAAAAGCUUACCAAGCCGACGAUCUGUAGCUGGUCUGAGAGGACGAUCAGCCACACUGGGACUGAGACACGGCCCAGACUCCUACGGGAGGCAGCAGCGGGGAAUUUUGGACAAUGGGCGAAAGCCUGAUUCAGCAAUGCCGCGUGCAGGAUGAAGGCCUUCGGGUUGUAAACUGCUUUUGUACGGAACGAAAAGCCCCGGGUUAAUACCCUGGGGUCAUGACGGUACCGUAAGAAUAAGCACCUGCUAACUACGUGCCAGCCGCCGCAGUAA
rnacentral:rRNA from 1 species